GACGAACGCUGGCGGCGUGCUUAACACAUGCGAGUCGAACGAUGAACCCGGAGCUUGCUCCGGCGGAUUAGUGGCGAACGGGUGAGUAACACGUGAGUAACCUGCCCUUGACUCUGGGAUAACUGCGGGAAACUGUAGCUAAUACCGGAUACGACCCUCGGCGGCAUCGCCAGGGGGUGGAAAGAAUUUCGGUCAAGGAUGGACUCGCGGCCUAUCAGCUAGUUGGUGAGGUAACGGCUCACCAAGGCGACGACGGGUAGCCGGCCUGAGAGGGUGACCGGCCACACUGGGACUGAGACACGGCCCAGACUCCUACGGGAGGCAGCAGUGGGGAUAUUGCACAAUGGGCGCAAGCCUGAUGCAGCAACGCCGCGUGAGGGAUGACGGCCUUCGGGUUGUAAACCUCUUUUAGUAGGGAAGAAGCGAAAGUGACGGUACCUGCAGAAAAAGCACCGGCUAACUACGUGCCAGCCGCCGCGGUAA
rnacentral:rRNA from 1 species